CGCCGCGCCGGGCGCUAACCCCGUGCCGGCUGCGGGCGGCGGGGCCUGGGCCGCCGGGCCGCACGCGCUCCCGCCAGGGCCGUCGUCCCCGCCCCGCGCGGCCCGGCGGCAGUCUGGGCGGGCGCUGUGGCGGCGAGGCCGCAGCCGCGCUCCCCGGGGCCCCCUGAUCUGGCCAGCGCCCCCGGCGGCCUCGCCCCCCGCCCGCCGCGCCCGCGCCGGCCUGCGCUGCCCGCUGGCGGCGCCCGACACCUGUCACACGCUCGCCCGCGCCGGCAGCGUCGGCGCCCGGCGGGCCGCUGCCUGCCCGGACGCCCGCCGCCCGGCGCUCCCGGCGCGCAAUGCCGCGGGCGCGGCUCACCGGCGGGGCCCUGACGGACCGCGCUGCAGGCCGGCGCGGCGGCGGCGGCGGCCCGCUCUGGAGGCGCGCGGGCGCUGGUGGAGCGCCCGCUGCACGCGCCGCCGGGCGCUGGGGGCGGGCAGGGACGCGCAGGGCACACGGGCGGCGCCCAGGGCCACCCCCGCGGAGCCGGGAGGACCCGCCGAGGCCGAGGCGAGGACGCGCGCCGGCCCGAGGGCGGGAGCGCAGGGCAAGUGACUUGCUUGGGUCAUGCUCAGUCUGCAGUCUGUGUUCAGACAUGGUGCAAACAUCCCCCGAGAACUCGGAGGAGACUGCCAGGGAAGGCCUGGGCCUCCUUCCCAGAACAGCCUGCUUCAGACCAGCUCGGUGCCUCCUCCCCGCGUCGCAGCGACCCCCUGCCACAGGUGGGGCUGGAACCCAGCAGGAUUGACGGGAAUGUGGAUCACAGCCUCCCCGCUACCCCAUUUGCUUUCCAAAGGUCAGCGGCUUGAGAUAAUGUGUUUUAGGGAUUUCCCAGUCGGCUAGUAUUUAAAAGAUGUUUAUAUUGAAAAAAGAAGAUAGAGGCUCUGGCAACUAGGAAAACACAGAAUAAAAGUUUUCCCUGGACUCUUUUUUUUUUAAUUUUAAAUUUUUAUUAAAGAACAAUCGAUUUUGACACUAACAAUGUUGCGUUAGUCUCAGGCGUACAACAAAGUGAUUGAGUUAUACAUGCAUAAAUCUGUUUUUUCCCAGAUUCUUUUCUCUUGUAGAUUAUUACAAGAUAUUGAGCAGAGUUUCCUGUGCUCCACAGUAGGUCCUUGUCGGUUAUCUGCUUUAUAUAUAGCGUGGAUGUGUUAAUCCCAAACUCCUUAUUUAUCCCUCCCUCCACUUUCCCCUUUGGCAGCCAUACAUUGGCUUUCUAUGUCUGUGGGUCUGUAUCUGUUUUGUGUAUAAAUUCAUUUGUAUUAUUGUUUUGGGAGGGUGGUUACACAAACUGGUGAUGUCAUAGGCUAUUUGUCCUUGUCUGACUGACUUCACUUGGUGUGAUCCUCUCUGAGUCUAUCCAUGUCACUGCAGAUGGCUUUCCCCUACUCUUUAUUUGCAGUUUUUGCAAUAAUAGUGAAGGAAAUAGGAAUUAGAAACCUCAGACACCUCAGCCUUCUUCUUUCUAGUCCUUGUCCUUACAGGGGUUUAUGUUGACAAAGCUGAUAACAUUUGUGUUGUCUUUUCACCUAAUGUCAAUAAUUCCAUAAAAGAGUACGUCGCUUCUCAGAGAGGAAGGGUUACUUUUUAUUCUAAGGUGUUGUAAUAUUACAUACGGUUUGGGGAAAGAGAAAAAAAUUAUUCAUAAACCUGCCGUCCUUCCUGAACCGCUCUAAUUUUUGCAUUUUCUGUCUCUGCUUUGUUCACGGCAUCUAUAUUUUGCAUGUUUUAUAUAAUAGAACUAUUCUGGUUAUUGCCCACAAGCAUUCACAGGUUUAUAAAAAAAAAUGUAUACUCCCACACUCCACAAAACUCUUAAAAACCUGUUUUGAGUUCUCCUUACAAAUCCUUAUCCACGUGCAUAUUUCAUUUUUUCCACUAGUAAUAAAAGCACGAAUUCAAUUUAUUGUUUUUAUCCUAUUUUAUAUUAUAAAACACUUAGUGAUUC
ensembl:lncRNA